AGAGUUUGAUCCUGGCUCAGGACGAACGCUGGCGGCGUGCCUAAUGCAUGCAAGUCGUACGCACGGAGCUUGCUCCGUGAGUGGCGCACGGCUGAGUAUCACGUGGGAACGUACCCUUCGGUGGGGGAUAACGCCGCGAAAGCGACGCUAAGCCCGCAUCCGCUCACCAGGUUCUGGUGAGGAAAGCAGCAAUGCGCCGAAGGCUCGGCCCGCGGCCCAUCAGGUCGUUGGGGGGGUAAUGGCCUCCCAAGCCGAUGACGGGUAGCUGGUCUGUGAGGACAAUCAGCCAGACUGGGACUGAGACACGGCCCAGACUCCUACGGGAGGCAGCAGCAAGGAAUUUUCGUCAAUGGGGGCAACCCUGAACGAGCAACGCCGCGUGGUGGAUGACGGCCUUCGGGUUGUAAACUCCUUUCGGCGGGGACGAAACGGACGGUACCCUCAGAAGCAGCCCCGGCUAACUCUGUGCCAGCAGCCGCGGUAAGACAGAGGGGGCAAGCGUUGUCCGGAUUUACUGGGCGUACAGCGCGCGCAGGCGGUGGUCGACGUGCCGUGUGACAUGUGCGGGCUCAACCCGCACCGGCCACGGUAGACGCGGCCGCUAGAGGCAGGGAGAGGGAGGUGGAAUGCCCGGUGGAGCGGUGAAAUGCGUAGAGAUCGGGCGGAACACCAGCGGCGAAGGCGGCCUCCUGGCCCUGACCUGACGCUGAGGCGCGAGAGCGUGGGGAGCGAACCGGAUUAGAUACCCCAGUAGUCC
rnacentral:rRNA from 1 species